rnacentral:rRNA from 1 species
UACGGGGGGGGCAAGCGUUGUUCGGAAUUACUGGGCGUAAAGGGCUCGUAGGUGGCCAACUAAGUCAGACGUGAAAUCCCUCGGCUUAACCGGGGAACUGCGUCUGAUACUGGACGGCUUGAGUAUGGGAGAGGGAUGUAGAAUUCCAGGUGUAGCGGUGAAAUGCGUAGAUAUCUGGAGGAAUACCGGUGGCGAAGGCGGCAUCCUGGACCAUUACUGACGCUGAGGCGCGAAAGCUAAGGGGAGCAAACGGG